UACAGAGGGUGCAAGCGUUAAUCGGAAUUACUGGGCGUAAAGGGCUCGUAGGUGGAAAAUUAAGUUAGAUGUGAAAGACCAGGGCUCAACCUUGGAAUUGCAUUUAAUACUGGUUAUCUAGAGUAUGGUAGAGGGAAGAGGAAUUUCCGGUGUAGCGGUGAAAUGCGUAGAUAUCGGAAGGAACACCAGUGGCGAAGGCGUCUUCCUGGGCUAAUACUGACACUGAGGAGCGAAAGCGUGGGUAGCGAAC
rnacentral:rRNA from 1 species